rnacentral:rRNA from 1 species
UACGUAGGGUGCGAGCGUUAAUCGGAAUUACUGGGCGUAAAGCGUGCGCAGGCGGCUUUGCAAGACAGAUGUGAAAUCCCCGGGCUCAACCUGGGAACUGCAUUUGUGACUGCAAGGCUAGAGUACGGCAGAGGGGGAUGGAAUUCCGCGUGUAGCAGUGAAAUGCGUAGAUAUGCGGAGGAACACCAAUGGCGAAGGCAAUCCCCUGGGCCUGUACUGACGCUCAUGCACGAAAGCGUGGGGAGCGAAAGGG